GACGUAGGGGCCGAGCGUUGUCCGGAGUUACUGGGCGUAAAGGGCGCGUAGGCGGCCUUCUAAGUCAGACGUGAAAUCCCCCGGCUUAACCUGGGAACUGCGUCUGAUACUGGGAGGCUUGAGUAUGGGAGAGGGAUGUAGAAUUCCAGGUGUAGCGGUGAAAUGCGUAGAUAUCUGGAGGAAUACCGGUGGCGAAGGCGGCAUCCUGGACCGGCAUUGACGCUGAGGAGCGAAAGCUAGGGGAGCAAACGGG
rnacentral:rRNA from 1 species